AACGCAUAUUGCGCUCUUUGGUAUUCCGAAGAGCAUGCUUGUUUGAGUAUCAGUAAACACCUCAAAGCCCUUUUUCUUUUUUUUGAAGAAAGGCUUUGGACUUGAGCAAUACCAACACUUUUUUUUUAGAGUGGCGGGUUGCUUGAAAUGCAGGUGCAGCUGGACAUUCUCCUGAGCUAAAAGCAUAUUUAUUUAGUCCCGUCAAACGGAUUAUUACUUUUGCUCUAGCUAAUAUAAAGGUCGAAUGCGCUAUAUGCCGACUGAUGCAGGAUUACCAAGUUUUACCUAGUAAAACUUGUAAACUCGAUCUCAAGUCAAGUAAGACUACCCGCUGAACUUAA
rnacentral:misc_RNA from 1 species